rnacentral:rRNA from 1 species
AGCUCCAAUAGCGUAUGUUAAAGUUGUUGAAGUUAAAAAGCUUGUAGUUGAAUUUGUGGUUAACGUAAGGCUUCCGUCCCUUUUUGGUUUCGAUUUUGGCUGACGUUGCCAUCCUUGGGUGGAAUCUGUGUGGCAUUAGGUUGUCGUGCAGGGGAUGCCCAUUGUUUACUGUGAAAAAAUUAGAGUGUUCAAAGCAGGCUUAUGCCGUUGAAUAUGUUAGCAUGGAAUAAUAAGAUAGGACCUUGGUACUAUUUUGUUGGUUUGCGCACCGAGGUAAUGAUUAAUAGGGACGGUUGGGGGUAUUCGUAUUCCAUUGUCAGAGGUGAAAUUCUUGGAUUUUUGGAAGACAAACUACUGCGAAAGCAUGUACCAAGGAUAUUUCCA